rnacentral:rRNA from 1 species
GUGCCAGCAGCCGCGGUAAUACAGAGGGUGCGAGCGUUAAUCGGAUUUACUGGGCGUAAAGCGUGCGUAGGUGGCCAAUUAAGUCAAAUGUGAAAUCCCCGAGCUUAACUUGGGAAUUGCAUUCGAUACUGGUUGGCUAGAGUAUGGGAGAGGAUGGUAGAAUUCCAGGUGUAGCGGUGAAAUGCGUAGAGAUCUGGAGGAAUACCGAUGGCGAAGGCAGCCAUCUGGCCUAAUACUGACACUGAGGUACGAAAGCAUGGGGAGCAAACAGGAUUAGAUACCCUGGUAGUCC